rnacentral:rRNA from 1 species
UACGUAGGGUGCGAGCGUUAAUCGGAAUUACUGGGCGUAAAGCGUGCGCAGGCGGUUCGCUGUGUCCGAUGUGAAAGCCCCGGGCUCAACCUGGGAAUGGCAUGGGAAACUGGCGGGCUGGAGUGUGGCAGAGGGGGGUGGAAUUCCGCGUGUAGCGGUGAAAUGCGUAGAUAUCCGGAGGAACACCGGUGGCGAAGGCGGCUUCCUGGACCGACACUGACGCUGAGGCGCGAAAGCUAGGGGAGCAAACGGG